rnacentral:rRNA from 1 species
ACGCGAGGAACCUUACCAGGUCUUGACAUCCUCUGACACUCCUAGAGAUAGGACGUUCCCCUUCGGGGGACAGAGUGACAGGUGGUGCAUGGUUGUCGUCAGCUCGUGUCGUGAGAUGUUGGGUUAAGUCCCGCAACGAGCGCAACCCUUGAUCUUAGUUGCCAGCAUUAAGUUGGGCACUCUAAGGUGACUGCCGGUGACAAACCGGAGGAAGGUGGGGAUGACGUCAAAUCAUCAUGCCCCUUAUGACCUGGGCUACACACGUGCUACAAUGGAUGGUACAAAGGGCAGCAAAACCGCGAGGGGGAGCUAAUCCGAUAAAACCGUUCUCAGUUCGGAUUGUAGGCUGCAACUCGCCUACAUGAAGCUGGAAUCGCUAGUAAUCGCGGAUCAGCAUGCCGCGGUGAAUACGUUCCCGGGCCUUGUACACACCGCCCGU